UGCGUAGGCGGCUUGGAAAGUUGGGUGUGAAAUCCCUCGGCUCAACCGAGGAAUUGCGCCCAAAACUUCCAGGCUUGAGGGAGGUAGAGGUAAGCGGAACUAAUGGUGGAGCGGUGAAAUGCGUUGAUAUCAUUAGGAACACCUGAGGCGAAAGCAGCUUACUGGGUCUCUUCUGACGCUGAGGCACGAAAGCUAGGGGAGCGAACAGGAUUAGAUACCCUGGUAGUCC
rnacentral:rRNA from 1 species